UUUGUCAUGUUCUUUGGACAGGUAAAAUAACAAGGUAAAACAAGUAGAAAGAAAAGGCUGGAGCAAAGAUGAGAAAAGCACCAUAUGCCAAGGGUUUGUAAGGAGAGUAGCAGAUCAGAAACCUUUGACUAGAGAAGAUGUGAAUGGAGACAGAUUCUGAUGAUGCCAUCAUUGGGAGGCAGGAUGACUAUAAGACACUAAUUCCUCAUCCAUAAAGAUUUCUACAAGUGGUUCAUUUGGAUGAUUAUUUUGGACAUUCCCAAGAAACUAUAAUUCCUAACUAGACCAAACUUGUAUGAAAUGAAUACAGAUUUCAUUACAAGACGUGUGCAUGGUGCAACAUCCUGGAUGGUGUGUAGUAUGUUUGUUAACAUGUGAAGCCUACGUGUAUUUCAGGGAGUUGUCUCCCAUGUUUAAGAUCAGUAAUGGCGGAUAUUCAAUGCAGUAUGCUGUCUGGUCAUCAACAGAGAGUUUUGACACCCGUAUUUCUACCAAUCACCUCUGUAACCUUUGUUGUGUUCAUCAGAUAGAUUCACCAGAUGCAGCUGCUCCAUCUCCAUCACUGGUGAAAUGGGAAAUGACUAGUGGACGGUCAUCACUUUGUAACUCACCAUUUUGCAGCCCAUCUCUUCUCAUCUUCAGUGGUGGCCUCUGGAGGAAUGGUUGCAGUGCAGUCUUCGUGUCUUAGGCAGAUAACUUCCUUUCCUUUGCUUCUCAGUUUUUAGCUCAACUCAACGAAAUUGGGGAACCUUAUGUGAUACCCUCAGCAUUGGUGUUGGUGUCCCAGGUUAAAGUUUUUGGAGCAGAGUUCUUUUUAACUAUGAAAAUGAAGAACUGGAGAGGAUCUUGAUUGAUUUUUCUUGAAUGAGACACAAGUGCCUUCCAUUUGUGAUACUAAAGGAAGCUGUUACAAAUUUAGUUUGCCACAGUGCUGGCCUGACAUAUGAGGACAGGAAUAAAAGAUGUUUUAAAAUAGAAAUGUCUAUAAUUUAACUUAUAAGUAUGAUUAACUAAGAUCACAAACAACAAAUCAGUUGCAUUGCAAAUGUACAUAUAGCAUGUUUGCACUUACGAGGGAAUAUUCACUCCCUUUCAGUGAAAGUGUUGGCAUGCAGGUCAAUUAUUGUCACCAAAUCAUCUGUCAUAUUCUCUGCAUGCAGCUGUAGAAUUUGAUCAGAAAGAUUAGCUACACUAUUCUAUGUAUAAGUCUUAUGUAUAAAUCUAAGACAUUUUGGUUUCUAGUCACCAGUCUAUAUUUAUAAUCAUUGUAGUGUAAAAAAAUUCUGGUCCAUAAGUCGAUUGAGACUUUAUGUUUUAGUGAAAUGUUUUGUUUAUUUAUUGCCAACUCGCUGUAAAUCAAAUGUAGUUAAAAAUUUCAGCACUUUCAUUGUGUUUAUGCAAUUUAUUGUUCUUCAAUGUCAGUGACAUGUAUAUCAUUUUAUGAUGCACAAUCAGUAUUAUUGUACUAGAUUUAUACUUGUCUCUUAUUGAUCUGCAUUUUUUGGGGCUAAUUAAUGUUUAAAUCCUACUGUGAACGUCUUCUUUUCACUUGGUGCCAGUGCUUGAAAGAAACCAGCCUGUCAAUAAUUUUUAAGAAGAUGCUGAGAUUAGCUUUACAUCGUAAAACAAACUGAACACUGUAUAUAGUAUAGCAUAUCAUUGUUAAAGAUGUAUGUGUGCAUGUGUGUUGUAUUGUAGAUAUAAUUCUUGUAUUACAUCAUGUAUAUUUCAUAGAAGAUUUUGUUAGAAGCUCUGUUUUCAUAAUUUAAUUAUUUUCAUGUACAUAAAGACUUUGAUCGUUUGUUUGUUGUUUAACGUCCCUCUUGAGAAUUUUUCACUGAUAUGGAGACGCCACCACUUGCUGGUGGAGAGCUGCAAAUUUUGACCUAUACUCGGCACUCGGUGCCAUUGAGCAGUGAGGGAUCUUUUUUGUGUCAGCACCUACUGUAUCACAGGACCUUGGUUUAUACAGUCUCAUCCGAAGGACUGGUAUUCACGUCCCACAGUGGGAUUCGAACCCAUGACGUAAGGAUCAACUCCUUACUUUGUGACUCUAGAGCGGACGCUCUUACUACUGUGCCACAUGGGCAACUUUGUUCAAGGAAAUUGGCUGAAGCAUUUAACACAAAAUUCUACUGAUUUUAGGCCUAUAUAAUCCAUUCUAAUGAAAGAUCUAGAAGUGUACACAGAGAACAUUGUACUGUAGAUUUUAUUAUUAUACCUCUACUGUUAUUACUCUAUAUAAAAUUAAUACCAUAAAACUGUCUAUUUCCCUGAGAAGAUACUAUUUCCCUCAUCUGAGGACUACUCCCUGAAAAAUUGGAGCUACUCCCUGGGACUACUCCCUCAUGAAUAUUAAUAAUUUUAACCAAUUAAAAUGAACAGUGGGCGGAGCAUUCAAGGAAUCUCGAGUCUGUGACGUAAUGUUAUUAGCAAUGUAAGUAUGACGUCAAAACAUUUCGACAUGCGAUGUCAAAAUCAUACUGAAAUAUUCUAGCAAAAUGAAGGCAACAAUAAUCCUUCGAAGUGUCAGUGAAAUUAUUUUAUAUUUUUUUUAAUAAUUCUAUUUUCCUCGGUAUUGAUGCAUUAGUUAUCUUACAAUAUUUUUGAUCAUAUGCAAUUGUGAUUAUUUAAAUACCUCUGUAUUGUUUUUAAAAAUGUCUGAGUCUCUAGUUUAAUAAAUCUCCCAUGAUUGUUUCUGUAUAAUAAAACAGUGAUUGAAUGGGUACUUGGGAAAUAUCAAAUUUAUGGUUCCCCUCGGUAGGAAACUGUUUCCCUCGGCGGCUUCUCUGCCUCGGGAAAUAGUUUCCUCCCUUGGGGAACCAUAAAUUUGCUAUUUCCCUCAUACCCAUUCCAUAACUGUAAAAUAUUAUGUUGUUUAUUAUUUGAAGAAUUUGAUGUAACCUCAGUCACAUUACUACAUGUUUGUUAGAUUGUAUUUUGCUUCAUUAAGAACCUGACUGGGGGAUUAAGGGAUCUCUAAGUACAGUUGAACUUCAGUAUUUUGAACACUGAUAUCUCAAAUACCAUGGAUAAUUCAAAGUGAUUUGGAAGUUUCAGUCACUUUUUUGUAUUUAUAUUUCAUCAUUGGUCUCUCAAUUCCUCCAAGUUUCUUCUCAGUUCCGUUGAGUCCGAGGUAUCAAAGUUUGACUGUAAUUUCAUUGUUUUAGGCCUUUAUAAUUCACUUGAUGAAUGAUGUAGUAAUGUACACAGAGAAUACAAAACGGAUUGAAAGCAAUAAAGUUAUGAACUUCUGUA